ensembl:snRNA U7 U7 small nuclear RNA
AAAAGUCACAGCUCUUUCAGAAUUUGUCUAACAGGUGUGUGGUUUAUACCAGAAAGACCCCU